rnacentral:rRNA from 1 species
UACGGAGGGAGCUAGCGUUGCUCGGAAUCACUGGGCGUAAAGCGCACGUAGGCGGAUUGCUAAGUCAGGGGUGAAAUCCUGGAGCUCAACUCCAGAACUGCCUUUGAUACUGGCAAUCUCGAGUCCGGGAGAGGUGAGUGGAACUGCGAGUGUAGAGGUGAAAUUCGUAGAUAUUGGGAAGAACACCGGUGGCGAAGGCGGCCAUCUGGACCGCAACUGACGCUGAGGCGCGAAAGCGUGGGGAGCAAACAGG